rnacentral:rRNA from 1 species
CCUACGGGAGGCUGCAGUGGGGAAUCUUCCGCAAUGGACGAAAGUCUGACGGAGCAACGCCGCGUGAGUGAUGACGGCCUUCGGGUUGUAAAGCUCUGUGAUCGGGGACGAAUGGCUGGUAUGCUAAUACCAUAUCAGAGUGACGGUACCCGAAUAGCAAGCCACGGCUAACUACGUGCCAGCAGCCGCGGUAAUACGUAGGUGGCAAGCGUUGUCCGGAAUUAUUGGGCGUAAAGCGCGCGCAGGCGGCUUCUUAAGUCCAUCUUAAAAGUGCGGGGCUUAACCCCGUGAUGGGAUGGAAACUGGGAGGCUGGAGUAUCGGAGAGGAAAGUGGAAUUCCUAGUGUAGCGGUGAAAUGCGUAGAGAUUAGGAAGAACACCGGUGGCGAAGGCGACUUUCUGGACGACAACUGACGCUGAGGCGCGAAAGCGUGGGGAGCAAACAGGAUUAGAUACCCUAGUAGUC